CGCGCCCGGCCGCUGCCGCCGGACGCUUGAAAAGGAACAAGAGGAUUUAUCUGACUCAACUGGAGAUGGCUCCCUUCCCUAAUUUAUUGUUGCAUCCUGAAGCUUCCCCCAUGCUGGGCUCAGUGUGAACAAACAGCGCGGGAGAAUGCAACCACUGCAGAGAAGAGGGGCUUGAGCAGAGAGAAUGCUUAGAGGCUAAGCGAUGGGCAAGUGAGAGGGAAAGAGCCGCGACAGACAGAGCUGGCUGCCUAGGGGUCUCAGAGGCUUCAUCCUGCAGGCGGCAGGCGGCAGGACAAAGGGACCUUCGCACUCGAGAUCAAGAUUCCAAGGAGUUAAACGCUACCACGCAGCCCGACCUGGAUGGGAUUUGCUCCUGGGUACAAAACGGGACACUGAUCAAAAUCAACUUGGACAAGUGACAAGAGUGAGUCUUAUGUCGGUGGAUGUCUUUUAAGGUCGUUGGAGGGAAGAGGACGGGAGGGGUGUGCCGAGGGGUAGGUGGAGAGAGGCACCGAGUCCAGAGCCGGGAUAUAAAUGCACCAGGAGCCGGGGAGCAGAGGAGCAAAUGAGUGGGGGAAAGAGUGAGAGGAAGAGUUGGAGAAAAGUCGGGGGAAAGUAGGGACAGGGUUAAGGGGAGAGAGGAGGAUGAGGGCGGCGAGGAGAGAUUAAAAGGGGAAGGGGGGUCGCUGGAGAGGAGGGCGGACUGUGGAUCGGAGGUAGGGAGAGGGGCGAGGGGAGUGCGCG
rnacentral:lncRNA from 1 species